GAUGAACGCUGGCGGCGUGCUUAACACAUGCAAGUCGAACGGAAAGGCCCUGCUUUUGUGGGGUGCUCGAGUGGCGAACGGGUGAGUAACACGUGAGUAACCUGCCCUUGACUUUGGGGUAACUUCAGGAAACUGGGGCUAAUACCGGAUAGGAGCUCCUGCAGCAUGGUGGGGGUUGGAAAGUUUCGGCGGUUGGGGAUGGACUCGCAGCUUAUGGGCUUGUUGGUGGGGUAGUGGCUUACCAAGCGUUUGACGGGUAGCCGGCCUGAGAGGUUGACCGGCCACCUGACGCCUGAGAUACGGCGCAGACGCCUACGGGACGCAGCAGUGGGGAACAUGGCACAAUGGGCGGAAGCCUGAUGCAGCAACGCCGCGUGCGGGAUGACGGCCUUCGGGUUGUAAACCGCUUUCGCCUGUGACGAGGCGUGAGUGACGGUAAUGGGUAAAGAAGCACCGGCUAACUACGUG
rnacentral:rRNA from 1 species